rnacentral:misc_RNA from 1 species
GCGGGACACAGGCGGGAGCAUCAGCAUACCGUCAGUACCGAGUACCGUAUCGGCAGGGGCCUGGCAUAACCACACACACACAAACACCCCACAGAGCCGGUCAACGACACCAAAGUGCUUGUCGUCGGCGUCGUCGUCGGCGUCAGCGUCAUGACCCCUUUGGCCCCCAACUCCUUUAAAGGGCAGCUGCUGCUCGCACUCAUGCUCAGCAUUGGUCUCAAGGUGCUCACCUUCUCCCUCAGCACCAUCCUCACACGACUCCUGCUGCCGUACCAGAACGGUGUGUACUUCACCUUCAACGUGUACAACGACGCCGUACUGUUCAUUGCGCGGGAGGCGACCCGCAACGUAGCGUCUCGGCUGCCCAUCAUAGAGCCGAGCGCAGAAGCGGAGGACAGCGCCGAGCAGGACGGCAAAGGCGGCGCGGCUCAUGAGAUGAGUCCUGCUGAGCGAGGUCGCGCACCUUCAGCGCCAUCCGCUUCGUCUACGCGGACGCCGGCGAGCUUGGUGAGGGUGGCCAACGUCCGUGCGGUGGUGAGCAUAGCCUUCUGCUCUGUGCCACUUGCCAUCGUCGUGGCCGCAGUGGUGGAGGCUCUCGGUACAUGCCUCGGCGCGGCGUCAUUCUUUCCUUCCAUGAUGCAACACGCGCGCGCCAGUCAGCAGGUCUUCCGCAAGGCAGAGAACGCCAGCGGCCUCGACGGCGCAAGCACACUGACGGGGCUCCCGUUUCUUCUGCUGCCGUACAUGCCGGAGACGACGGUGGUGCUGUGCGCUGUCCUUAUGGCAGCCGUGGAGCCGUGCGUCGUGCUCGUUCAGUCGCUGAACCUUUUCCGUGUGGUUGUUCUGGCCGAGUGCGCGACGCUUGUAGCGCGGCUGUGCACCAUCAUCGGCAUCGUGUACGCUUGCCAGCGCAACAGCGCCGGCGGCCGCACGCCCCAAGGCGAGGUGGGCAAUGGGCUGCGCACCAUGUGGGAAGCACGUAUGGCAUUGGCGUUUGGCCAGCUCGCGUACGCGAUAACGCAUGUGAUCUACUACUCGCUGGUCCUGUCGGGGCUCCCAGUGGCUCGCUGGCUCGGCUCCAGCACCGCGAUGGAGCAAGUGCGAGCGGCAGCACUGCUGGCGCAUGCAAGGGACAUGGGACACUCAGAACAAGAUAUAGGUCCAGGUAGGUCUGCUGGUGAUGCGAAGGCGGCGCCGUCUUCGGCGCUUGCCGCCCCGUUGCAGGCGGGAAGAUGGGCAACCUUUGCCUUUCCCUUCUGCUUCUACUCCAUUGUGGACAGUGUCGCAGUCUGCCGGCGCUACGCCUCGCUCUUCAGCACGUUCCUGCGCGAAAGCCUGCUGCGACUGGUGCUGUCUGAGGGGGAGAGCCUCACGCUGACCUCUCUCGGCUCCGAGACGGCGCGGGGGUACUACCAGCUCAUCUCUAGCCUCGGCUCUCUCGUCGCCCGCCUGCUCUUCCGCAUCUGGGAGAACGCCUGCUUCGUCAAGUGGAGUCGCGAGGCUUCGCUGGGCCACCGACACACCGCCGUGCAGUUGCUGAAGCUGAUGCUGCGCCUAGCCUUCUAUGUCAGUUUCUCAUUCACCCUGUUGGGCCCCCCGCUGGCAAAGACGUUCCUGGCCACGAUGUACACGUCGCGGUGGGCGACACCGCAGGUGUCGACGGCGCUCCAGCUUUACUUCUACGAUCUACCGCUGAUGGCCUGGAACGGGCUGCUGGAGGCAUUUCUGCGUGCCGUCGCUUCCCCGGCGGUGCUGCAACGGCUGCAGCGGUGGAUGGUCGGGGAGACAGUCUUGUACAUCGCAGCGUGCUACGUCACGCUAGUCGCCUUUGGAAAGGCGGAUUCACAGGGCGAGAGUGUAAGCGUCUUGGUGCUGCUGAACAUCUUCAAUACGCUCUGGCGGUGUGGCGUGUCCAUUUACCUCCUGGUAAGCUCCCCGGGUGCUGCGGUCGGCUCUGCAACGGCUGCCUCCACUGAUGCCCAAGCCAAAGACGGAGGCGGUCCUGCUGCCCCGGCCGCCCCUUCCCUCGCUCCGCCGUCUCCCAUCGUGCACCUGCGUGAUUUUGCUUCUCUCUUUCCCAAGCACAUUGUCGGCUCGAUCCUCGGCAUCUUUGUGUGUAGCCGUGUGCUGCGUGCAUACUCAGUGGUGACCAUCGCGGCCGUCGGCUUGGCGUACGCCGCAGUGAUUCUUGCCUGGGAUGGCGAGGUGCGCCAGCUUCUCGUGACACCGGUGUGGAGCCGUGUGCGGCCACUGUUGCUGGGGAGCCACGACGGCUCGCACGUGGGCCUGGCCACUGCCCCUCCGCGAAGUGUGGAAUUGCCCGAGAGCAUGGCGGCGUGAACCGCUACACAUGCCACGUGUGCAUGGCGUGCGCCCGUGGCACGUGCCACACCGCGUUGCACUGUCGCAGUGCUCCUUCCCCCUUUUGUGUUGCCCCCUACCCCUUUGCCGCUAACGUGCCAAACGCAGCCAUUCGCUUUCUCUGGUGUGGUGUACGUGGGCGACAUCGUAAAGCAACACUCCCCUUCCCCCAAACACGAAGCUCGAGACUUGGGUAUCGGUGACCAGGCCGAUCGGUGGUGCUGCGCGCUUCUUUGCGUGCUUCUCUCCGCGCCAGUGCCAAGGUAUCCAGAGCGAAAAAGAGCGGGUGAGUGGGAUGGGGACAGGAGGGAGGAGGGUGUCUCUGCGGUACGCCUCCUGCCUCCAUUCCACUGACGAGCACGAGAUCUUGUGUGUCUCGCCCUCCCCCUCUUCACGGCUCUGCGCGCACCGCAUGUGCACCGCACCCUUUGCUGCUCUUGCCCCCCUCCCCCUCCUCUUAUGCCGCGGAUUCCUCUCUUGUGUAUCCUUUCCUGCUGCUGCUGCUGCUGCCGCUGCCACCCCCAUCCCCAUCGAUGAGGGUGUGCACCCGCUUACACAUGCAUGCGGUCAUUCUUCUGCUCAUCGUUGCUUUGAAAUUCGCCGCGAAG